GCGACCAAAUAUAAUAAGGAUCGGAUUUAACCAUGCUUGCACUCAAGACUCAGAGUGCAUUUUGUGUUUAAUUAAUCUAAUAAAAUAACCCAAAUUUCGAAUGGGGUAAUCCUUCCGAGUUCUGAGAAUGAGAUGUUGCUAAAUGUUUCAGAUGUUGUCGACAAGUAUGAGGUUCAACUUAUUAGGGCACUACGAACAUACUCUGGGCAUUGAAAACUGGUUUGUCCCUCGAACAUUUUCCGCACCAUAUGGUCCCACAUUCUUAGAUGCCUAAUCAUUGGAAAAGGCUACUUUGGCUCUACUUGAUGAAUUCGAGAAAGUCCUCUAAGGACAUCUAUGUAAGGAUUAAGGACACCCCAGUCUAGUACUCGAGUCUUUUCCGGAAGUAAGCCAAUCUAAUUGCUUAUUCUCUAAUAACUACCACUCUGUUUGAUGCAGCAUUUUACAAAUUCUACAACUGCCUUCUCAUUUCCAUAGUUACUUCUGAGCCAUAAAAAAAUCUAUCGCUGUCUGGCUGAGUUUAUUUACUGUAUUGUUUGUUUGUUACUAUUUUAUGAUCAAUUAUUGCUUUUGUUGUCUGAAACUUGUUCUACCAACAUGAGAGAAAGAUAAGUUGAAAUUUGCAGCACGAACAAGAAAGUGUGAUACUGUGAUCUGAUACACCCGGAGUGACCAUGCAUUAAGUUUUUUUCGGUUUGUGACAUAUCAAACAAGUUUUUAAUUUUUCUUAGUGAUUAAAAGAUUAGGAAUUAGGAUGUUACUUGCCAAAAAACAAAGCAAAAAAACAUUUUGAAAGAAAAGUACGAAGAGAGUGAAAGAUUACAGAAUAUCACAGGUUAACCGAGUUUUGUUUUGCUGGAAUGACAUGCUGGAUGAUCACAUUGAACAGAUUACAGAUUCACCAACCAAAGCUAUGAAUGCCAUUAAAAGACAAGGGAAGCACAGAGAACAAACACACUUGUAACUAGGAGAAAGAUAAGAACAUUAUUUUAUUCAACAACAAAGAAGGGACCUCCGGACUUACAUGCGGGUAUCUUAAUCAGACAAGCACAAGGACUCGGUUGAAUCAAUUAGGACACAAGUAUGAGCUUCUCUCACAGCAAGUUUAUGGUCCAAUUUUCCAGACUCAAUGAAUUUAAAUCCUCCAAAAGAAACACAUAAUGCUCUUGAACAUCCCCUGCACUCUUUUGUCCUCCAAUCAUGGCUGCAACAACCUCCCACCGUUUCAGGUGGUUCUCGUCUACCACGGCUAAAGCGAGCUCAAACAACUUGUUCUCCUUCCAACUCCACCCACACAAACCCUUAUGAAAAUCAUCCAUGUCACUAGUUCUGGAUGACAUCUUCAGAGGACUAUGAGGAUUUACCAUAAUUCAUUUACAUUAUGGUACUUUUGAAAGGCUAUUCAUAUCUCACAAAAAUUGCUUAUUCCUUGGGGCAGUCAUGCCUGCAAUCAAUGACCUGCAAAAUUGCCUUGUCUUUCGUUUCAUUACAAAGGGUACAUGAGAUUAAUUAUAAUUUCAACUUAUGAUGAUAAUAAAAGGUUGAUUCGUAUGUGCUGAAAGAAUUAGUAUCUCCAUUUUAUUUUAUUAAAUAGAGACAAAAUGAAGUACCUAACUAUUCAUUUCUUGCAAGAA